rnacentral:rRNA from 1 species
AUACGGAGGAUCCGAGCGUUAUCCGGAUUUAUUGGGUUUAAAGGGUGCGCAGGCGGCCAUUUAAGUCAGCGGUUAAAUCGUGGGGCUCAACCCCAUUCUGCCGUUGAUACUGGGUGGCUUGAUUGCGGUCGAGGUUGGCGGAAUUCGUUGUGUAGCGGUGAAAUGCAUAGAUAUGACGAAGAACACCGAUUGCGUAGGCAGCUGACCAGACCGCAAAUGACGCUCAUGCUCGAAAGUGCGGGGAUCGAACAGGAUUAGAUGCCCUGGUAGUCCGCACAGUAAACGAUGAAUACUUGUUUUCGGCGAUAUAAUGUCGGAGGCAAAGCGAAAGCGAUAAGUAUUCCACCUGGGGAGUACGCCGGCAACGGUGAAACUCAAAUGAAUUGACGGGG